rnacentral:rRNA from 1 species
UACAGAGGUCUCAAGCGUUGUUCGGAUUCAUUGGGCGUAAAGGGUGCGUAGGCGGCGCGGUAAGUCGGGUGUGAAAUCUCGGAGCUUAACUCCGAAAUUGCACUGGAUACUGCUCUGCUAGAGGGCUGGAGAGGAGAUCGGAAUUCACGGUGUAGCAGUGAAAUGCGUAGAUAUCGUGAGGAAGACCAGUGGCGAAGGCGGAUCUCUGGACAGCUCCUGACGCUGAGGCGCGAAGGCUAGGGGAGCAAACGGG